CCGCGGGAAUUCGAUUAGAGCUAGAAAAUGGCUCAGAAUUAACGCUGGGGGAGUGCCUCAGACUUGCUAGUCGAACGAUUAAAGUUUUCCAAAAGAGGGUGUAUAAAGUGGCGCACGGGUGAGUAACACGUAAGUAAUCUACCCUCGGGUGGGGAAUAACAACCGGAAACGGUUGCUAAUACCGCAUAAUGCAGCGGCUCCUUAUGGAGACAGUUGUUAAAGGAUUUAUUCGCCUGAGGAGGAGCUUGCGGCAAAUUAGCUAGUUGGUAAGGUAAUGGCUUACCAAGGCUACUUUUUUUAGCCGGUCUAAGAGGACGGUCGGUCACACUGACACUGAAUAACGGGUUUUUCUCCUCCCCCCCCAGCAGUCGGGAAUUUUGGGCAAUGGGCGGAAGCCUGACCCAGCAACGCCGCGUGAAGGAUGAAGUAUUUCGGUAUGUAAACUUCGAAAGAAUAGGAAGAAUUUAUGACGGUACUAUUUAUAAGGUCCGGCUAACUCCGUGUCAGC
rnacentral:rRNA from 1 species